UACGUAGGGGGCAAGCGUUGUCCGGAUUUACUGGGCGUAAAGAGCGCGCAGGCGGUCGUUCAAGUCGAGUGUGAAAGCCCCCGGCUCAACUGGGGAGGGUCAUUCGAUACUGAUCGACUCGAAGGCAGGAGAGGGAAGCGGAAUUCCCGGUGUAGUGGUGAAAUGCGUAGAUAUCGGGAGGAACACCAGUGGCGAAGGCGGCUUCCUGGCCUGUUCUUGACGCUGAGGCGCGAAAGCUAGGGGAGCAAACGGG
rnacentral:rRNA from 1 species